rnacentral:rRNA from 1 species
CCUACGGGUGGCUGCAGUGAGGAAUAUUGCGCAAUGGGGGAAACCCUGACGCAGCGACGCCGCGUGGGCGACGAAGGCCUUCGGGUCGUAAAGCCCUUUUGGCAGGGACGAGUGAGGACGGUACCUGCCGAAUAAGUCUCGGCUAACUACGUGCCAGCAGCCGCGGUAAAACGUAGGAGGCGAGCGUUAUCCGGAUUCACUGGGCGUAAAGCGCGCGUAGGCGGUUUGUUAAGUCGGACGUGAAAGCCCCUGGCUCAACUGGGGGAGGCCGUUCGAUACUGGCAGGCUUGAGGGUGAGAGAGGAGAGUGGAAUUCCCGGUGUAGCGGUGGAAUGCGUAGAGAUCGGGAGGAACACCAGUGGCGAAGGCGACUCUCUGGCUCACUCCUGACGCUGAGAGCGCGAAAGCGUGGGGAGCAAACGGGAUUAGAUACCCGAGUAGUC